AGAAAUGGCACUUACAAAAGAUUCAAUAUAAUUAUUGUUCGGUAGAGAAAACACCAUUUUUCUUUUUUGUAUUAAACACAGAGCACAGCUCAAACAACUCAAAAAAAAAAAACACUCUGUUGCGCGUUCCUCGACUGCGAUUUAUUUGUUUUCCUUUGGUUCAAGGGCUGCAAUUUCUUUCACAACUUGUGCUUUGUCAGCCUCAAACUGCUCAUCCUCUUUUUCAGUCUUAAAAUCGGCAAAGAGGCGAAGAAGUUUGCUUCUGUUUGCUACAAGGAUGCUAACAAUAUCGGGAGGUUUGUUGUGAUUUGCCGCAAAUAGCUUGAAGACAUGAAAU
rnacentral:misc_RNA from 1 species